UCAGCCUCCUGAGUAGUUGGGACUACAGGCGCCCGCCACCACGCCCAGCUAAUUUUUUUGUAUUUUUAGUAGAGACGGGGUUUCACUGUGUUAGCCAGGAACUGACCGCAAACGAGGCCGCCAGACCUACACCCGCUACCAGACCCUGGAGCUGGAGAAAGAAUUUCACUACAAUCGCUACCUGACGCGGCGGCGGCGCAUCGAGAUCGCGCACGCGCUCUGCCUCACGGAAAGACAGAUCAAGAUUUGGUUUCAGAACCGGCGCAUGAAGUGGAAAAAGGAGAACAAGACCGCGGGCCCGGGGACCACCGGCCAGGACAGGGCUGAAGCAGAGGAGGAAGAGGAAGAGUGAGGGAUGGAGAAAGGGCAGAGGAAGAGACAUGAGAAAGGGAGAGGAAGAGAAGCCCAGCUCUGGGAACUGAAUCAGGAAACUCAAAUCGAAUAGGGAAGUAAAAAACAAAACAAAAAACAAAAAAA
rnacentral:sRNA from 1 species